rnacentral:lncRNA from 1 species
CGUCCGUCGGAUUUCCGAUCGGAUCACGCCAGUGCAUUCAGCACGACUGGGGCAUCGAAUCUACAAUUUUGUUUUGUCUGAUUUGGUCGCCAAUUCACGACGAAACUCAUCCUCACUCCAAAAGGCAAAACUACGCACAAAUACAUAAAUUAUAUGUAUCUCCAGUUUCCUCAAAAAUCGUGCAUCAGAUCUAAAAUGCGUCAGCGCCAAUGGUUUCAGAAUAGUCGAACCAUUAAAACGAGCUAUUGGAGUCCUAUGAAUGGAGUCCGAUACGCACCAGAAGUCAUCUCUACUGAUCGGCCUCUCUGGAAAACCGGAGUUACUAUUCACUUUAAGUGAUUAGUAAUGAUCGCGUAACUUCUCCAUUCUAACUCAUUUUUUCCUGAAACUUGACGAGUAUUUAUGUAAUUAAAUUACACACAAAAAUAUCGUUAACAGAAAGUUUAGCUACACUGACAAAUCUCAGUCCUCACACUAAUAAUCCAAAAAAUAAUAGACAAAGGAAAGAUGAAACCCUUUUUAAUGGUAUUUCC